rnacentral:lncRNA from 1 species
GUGAAUCUUAUCAUCCAUGUUAACAAGACAAUUUCUGGUCCCAGCCUAGAGUCAGAAUUUCCGGGGCGUUGGGGGUGGGGUUGGGAAGCUGUGCUGCGCAAGCUUCGCCGGUGAUUCUCAUCACCACAGAAGGACUGGUUUCAGGUGUGCCUUCCUGCCAGGUGAGGGAGAGCCUUUAAAAGAGGUGUAGUCAUCAAGCGCACAGACUUUUUAUUUUCACUGUCUGGGUUUGCCUCUCAGCACUGCUUCGUGAAGUAUCGCCAUCUUAGACAGUUGCCAUGCAAGAGGGUGCUGGUUCUCCUUGGCCUUUACCCGCUGGCCUUGAUGGUUUUAGACCUUUAACCAGACUUAAGUUCCAGCAGUCACCUAAAGUUAUCACCCCUUCCUCAUUGGAGACAAUGAAUCAUCCCCACCCCGUAGAGGGCCCUCUCCUGGAGGAAAAGAAGAACAAUCGGAGAGCAGAUUUGUGGUUUGGGGGAGAAAGACCUACAUAUCUCUGAAUUCUGAAAAGAACAGCCACUUUGGCAAAGGCGCUAACCUGCACUAAUGUACAUCUUCCAGUGAAGAAAGGCUACCCAAGACCACGUUUUCAGCCAAAGGUGUUUUAAAAGGAAACCAACUGUGUAUUUAAACAUGGAGGGGUCUAGUGAGGCUCUCUUUGCUAGUUCUGAAAUCACUUUUCUGAACAAACACAUCUUCUCACACAUAAGUGGGUGUUGAACAGUUGAGAAUACAUGGACACAGGGAGGGGAACAUCACACACCAGGACCUGGAGGGUGGGGGAUUAGGGGAGGAAUAGCAGGGAGUGGGGGGAUUGGGGAGGGAAAACAUUGGGAAAAAUACCUAAUGUAGAUGAUGGGGUGAUGGAUGCAGCAAACCACCACCAUGGCACAUGUAUACCUAUGUAACAAACCUGCACGAUCUGCACAUGUACCCUAGAACUUAAAGUAUAAUCAAUUAAAAAAGAAAAGACUUUUCUGGCAUUAGUUCCUUAAAUUUGGACUAGCUUCAAUAUGCAAUCCUAGGGCUAUGUAAGCACUCGAAUGGGUUUGAAUCUAAUAGUAUGCAAGAACCAUAUAUUUCUUAUUCUUUUCUGAAGUUCAACUUAAUUUGUACAGUCAUGCACUGCUUGACAAUGGG